rnacentral:rRNA from 1 species
CGAACGAACCCUUCGGGGUUAGUGGCGCACGGGUGCGUAACGCGUGGGAACCUGCCUUUAGGUUCGGAAUAACAGUUAGAAAUGACUGCUAAUACCGGAUAAUGUCUUCGGACCAAAGAUUUAUCGCCUUUAGAUGGGCCCGCGUUAGAUUAGAUAGUUGGUGGGGUAAUGGCCUACCAAGUCGACGAUCUAUAGCUGGUCCGAGAGGAUGAUCAGCCACACUGGGACUGAGACACGGCCCAG